CAGACUGAAAUAUCCAACCCCUUCAUAAUUCCCGCGAAGCACCGCCAUAUACAGUCUAUGAGCACCGCAACACACGCUGUGACGUAAAGAGGCCGCGCUCUCGGUAGUUACGUGAUUGUUGGGCAUGCCGAAGCAGAGAUCGAAACACUGUCUUGGAACACUUCCGCUUCAAAAGCUCGACACUGUGUCGAGCAAACUGGCUCGAGCGUCACUUCCUGUUUACCGUUGCCGACAGAGUCACUGUUGGGCGUCCAUAGCCGGAGAGUCGAGCCGCUCGCCGGCUGCUGCAUGCCCAGUCCGACCCGUCAGCCGCUCGUGGGCCGUUACUAGCUGUUACCAUUCCUGCCGGUUGCUCCCCGUUCCCUCGUGGUGGACAGAUUUCACCGAUUGGCGUGGCGGCCGUUUGUCUGGAGCUGUGCUGGCUACACUGGGUCACGAACGCAGAAGACGCUGCUGCUUUGCCUCCGAGCUGUGGGCCUCUGGUGGUGGGGACUGGUGUCUUCGGGUGGUGGGAACCCCUUCCUGUGUGGCGUGCUGCUCAUCCCCUGGUUGUUUUUUAUUUCUUCACUCAGGGGUGUGUGUGUGUGUGUGUGUGUGUGUGUGUGUGUGUGUGUGUGUGUGUGUGUGUGUGUGUGUGUGUGUGUGUGUGUGUGUGUGUGUGUGUGUGUGUGUGCGCGCGCGCGCACACGCUCGCUCGCUCAUGUGUGUACGUGUGAGUGGGGUGAUUUCUCCUGGGCUCCCUUGUGAUGCCCGUUGGCCCAAACCUUCACCAGAGAGCCCCCAGCUCUGAUUAGUCCCCAACACCUUCAUUUAACAAUCCCGUGUGAAUGUUUUUUUUUAAAAAAUGGUUUUAAAAUGAGUAUUUUUGAUAUUAAAUAAAAUUUGUAUCUUUCUGCUUCCACUGGAA